rnacentral:rRNA from 1 species
CCAGAGAACUUAGCAGAGAUGCUUUGGUGCCUUCGGGAACUCUGAGACAGGUGCUGCAUGGCUGUCGUCAGCUCGUGUUGUGAAAUGUUGGGUUAAGUCCCGCAACGAGCGCAACCCUUAUCCUUUGUUGCCAGCGGUCCGGCCGGGAACUCAAAGGAGACUGCCAGUGAUAAACUGGAGGAAGUGGGGAUGACGUCAAGUCAUCAUGGCCCUUACGAGUAGGGCUACACACGUGCUACAAUGGCGCAUACAAAGAGAAGCGACCUCGCGAGAGCAAGCGGACCUCAUAAAGUGCGUCGUAGUCCGGAUUGGAGUCUGCAACUCGACUCCAUGAAGCCGGAAUCGCUAGUAAUCGUAGAUCAGAAUGCUACGGUGAAUACGUUCCCGGGCCUUGUACACACCGCCCGUCACACCAUGGGAGUGGGUUGCAAAAGAAGUAGGUAGCUUAACCUUCGGGAGGGCGCUUACCACUUUGUGAUUCAUGACUGGGGUGAAGUCGUAACAAGGUAAGCGUACGUGU